rnacentral:tRNA from 1 species
GCUGUGAUGGCCGAGUGGUUAAGGCGUCUGACUUGAAUCACGACAGUGUCAAGCUAUCAGAUGGGUUCUCCCGCGUAGGUUCGAAUCCUACUCGCAGCG